AAAUUAAGCCCGUGAUUUUUCUCAGCGUUAGCAUUAGCUUCUCCUGUUUUAUAUUAAUUUAUUUUAAUUAUUUACUACGAUUUCAGCUACAAAUUCAGUCUAUUUUAAGUUUAUGAACGACUAAACUAACAUAUGUGCCAAAUAUAAACGAGUUUUACUAAAAUCUGAAGACUUUUAAGCAAAUUAACCUUCCUGAGAGUGAAAUGGGGACAGCUUCAUCUGAGAAGCUCCAAUUUUCUGAGAAAGUCUGGUGCUCUUCAUAUUGUGGUGCUGUUCAUCUUGAGGACAGGUGUUUACUCAGCAAUUUUGAUCUACCUGAAGAUUCUGCAGUCCCGCGAGAACGUCCUGUACUUUAUCUCCAGUACUGCUUAUGAGUCUAUUGGACAGAAUAGCCCUGAUUUCUGAAAAUUACUGAAACUAAACAAAGCGACUCAUCUUCUGCUUCAGUUGCUACACUCACAGUCUAUCACCAUGUCUGGUCCUGAUUAUCAUGAUGAUUCUAAUGGUGCUGGAAUCACAGCCACAGUCUUCAUCGCUGUCAGUAUGGUCGGGAGCUUGCCUUUCCUGUGCUGCCUCCGCGCUCUGUAUAGGAACCUCAAGAGCGGAGGCCGAAAGCCGAUCUUCGUCAUCGUCCUCAUCAUCAACAUUCUUCUACAGUUUUCCUCUUGUGCAGCUGGGAUGCAGCUCAAUUUAAACUAUGGCUGUUUAGAGGACUGUGUUAGAGCAUACAGAGUGUUUAAUAUGGCUCAGCUCUGUGGGAUCUUCCUGCACCAGCUGGUGGCGCUAGAGAGCGUACUGUCUCUGAGGAACCCGCUCUACACCACAGACCUCUUCUCCAUGCCGUGUUCAAUCACUCUCUCCGUCGCUCUCUACGUCUUUGCCUUUGCCUGCGUAUUCUUGAAUGAUUUUGGACAGUUUGCAUUCUGUCUUCUCUCCGUCCUAAUAUUAAUACUAACAGUCGUUUUCACCUUUACAGCUCCGCCUUCUCCACCCUCUGAUCCAGACACACACAAUAAAACAACAUACUGGAUUCUGGCAGUUGCCACCGUUACAAUGGUUGUCGCCUAUUUGCCCUUUUUGAUGACUGUGCUUAUCAGGAUAUGCAAGAUUUAUUCAGGUGUUUUCCAGGUUUCUGAAAAAAUAGCAGGUGCACUUAAAGUGACCUCUUCUAUGAGGAGUCUGAGAGCGAUCUCUGACGCAUUCCUGUGUGUACUGGUCUUCAGGAAGGUUCUCCCGGUUCAGACUGCACAAACACAGGGCCUGAUUUAUCUGCAAAUACUCCCAAAUUCCAACUAAAAAUAUUGUCAUUUAGAGCAUUUAUAUGCAAUCUGUAGUGGUGCUUCAGGGGCGCGAGGUACCGUCGUAAAUAAUUUGUCAUUAAUUGGUUAUAUAUUUUUUUUUUUUUUCAAGCCUGCAAUAUUUGUAUUGAUACUGUUACCAAAUAAUUUUAUGUUACAGAUUUUGUAUUUUUCUAUAAAAAGUGUUUUAUUGUUGCCUGCAAAGCUGUUGAGUCUAAUAAAUAUAUAAAUAAAUUUCUCAGUCGUUUAUCAUUUUUAUUGUGGGGUUAUCAAAAUCAAAUCAGGUUUAUUUGCACAUUAUCACAUUAAAAUAGGGGUAAAAUGUGAGUAAAAUUAUGUAGUAAUGAGUUUGUUGUAGUAAUGAGUUAUGUAGUAUGUAGUAAUGAGCAACGUUAUUUAUUUUUUUUAAACAGAAAAUAGGGACGCUGUAAUACUGAGUAAAAUACCACAUAUGCAUUCUACUGGAGUAUUAUUUUUACUUCACUACUGUAUUAAGUUCUAAAAUGUUGUAUCUACUGGAGUAUUAUUUUUACUUCACUACUUUACUUAAAUGCUAAAAUCCUGUAUCUGUGUCUACUGGAGUAUUAUUUUUACUUCACUACUGUACUUAAGUACUAAAAUACUGUAUCUACUGGAGUAUUAUUUUUACUUCACCACUGUAUUAAGUUCUAAAAUGUUGUAUCUACUGGAGUAUUAUUUUUACUUCACUACUUUACUUAAGGACUAAAAUGCUGUAUCUGUAUCUACUGGAGUAUUAUUUUUACUUCACUACUGUACUUAAGUACUAAAAUGAUGUAUCUUUACUCUACUGGAGUAUUAGUUUUAUGCAUGGCAUUUGUGUGCUGCUAAGAGAGCGUAAAAAGUCCAAAAAAGAAGAUAAAAACGGCAAACUAGAGCAGAGGGCCUCGGGGGGCGUCAUGAUGCACUGUGUUCAGUUAACGGAGCUCACUGUACUUAAGUAUUAAAAUACUGUAUCUACUGGAGUAUUAUUUUUACUUCACCACUGUAUUAAGUUCUAAAAUGUUGUAUCUACUGGAGUAUUAUUUUUACUGCACUACUGUACUUAAGUACUAAAAUGCUGUAUCUGUAUCUACUGGAGUAUUAUUUUUACUUCACUACUGUACUUAAGAAAUCCACCUGUGCACAAGAAACAAGGCUGACGGUCAGUACUGGAUGCUGGUGAUCUUCAGGCACUCAGGCAGCACUGCAUUAUGAACAGGUUGUUCUGAUUCUGUACUGGAAAUCACUUCCUGUGCACAUGCAGUAAACACUUGCAAGUUUAACUUAUAUUUUCUUUUUCAUUUUAUUUAAAUUUAUCUUGAGAUAUUUGUUUAAGUUUAAAUUUUAGCCCAGAUGAAGCUCUUUAAGCACCAACGUUUUUUUUCAAUAAGUUACCUUUUUACUGUAAACCUUUGCUUUAAAUACAGAACUUCAUGAUGACCAGAUUGUUAGUUAAUACUUUACAAGUCAACAUUGCUAAUAUGUUUGAUUGCUAAUAUGUUUGAU